CUCAGCUCGGGUUCCUCUGGCAUAUCUGGGAGCUGCUCUCAGGAGCCUGCUCGGGGUCACAGGGUCAGAGGCCCCUUUCUCUGGCCCCUGGGGCAGCCUGGGGAGCAGGCACUGCAGACCCGGACCUUCACAUAUUGCCCCUCCCCUCCUGCUCGCCCGGCUUGGGGAGUGCCGGUGAUGGGAAGCCCCUUGGAGUUUGCUCACUCGCAGCUGGACUUCCACAUGGCUCAGGGCAGGGUGUGUGAGCAGGUCGCUCUGAGCUCAGCCUUUGGGUCCAGACCAUCCUUGUCUUGAACCUUGGCUUGGCCACAAACUUGUUGGACGGCGCUUGCUUACCUUCUCCGGGUCCCUCUGAAGUAGAGAUAGAGGUACCUGCCCCAGGGCUACUGUGGGGACUAAAUGUGAUCAUGUAGAGCAGUGGCUCGGAAGGUGGGGUCCCAGAGCAGCAGCUUCAGGUUCCCCAGGGAGCCUGUUGCAAGUGCAGAUUCUCAGGUUCUCCCAGACUUGGGGGAUCCUGAGCUCUGGGGCAGGGGCCGCAGUCCCUGUAGCCACCCGCCCCGGUGAUUCUGAUGUACACCCAAGCCGAGCACUUCUGGGCUAGAGGACCUAGUACGUUAUUCGGCAUUCAGAAACUGGCAGCUGUUAGUUACAUCCCUUAAUAAAAACAGCUAACUCACAUGCCAUCUAUUGUGUUCCUGUAAAUGUGCUAUAUAUGGGUUCUACAUUAUAUUCCAAUAUUAUUAUAGAUGAAGAAACUGAGGCUCAAACAAGUUAAGUCAAUCCCCAAGGUGGGUUCCCAGGAGCAAACCCUGAGAACGGGAUUCCAAUGCACAUGGUGGAUUAGGGCUGUGAUCCUGGGAGCACUGUGAGGGAGGGAGAAGGAAGACAGGGACAAGAAGACAGCCAGGAAAGGGUGUGUUACGGAGCAGAGCAGUUGGAGGCCUGCAUCUCUCGGAACAAGGGUGAAGCCUGCAUCUCUAGGUGCAACCCGGAAGCAGCGAGGCCUGGGGGACACAGGUGGCCCCGCCCCAGCCGCGCUGCUGAGACCCUCACAUGGGAACCUCCUGGCUUCAGGCCGGGGCUCUGGGCACUGUGAUACAGGCUCUGUGUGGGGCCCAGGAACGGAGCCUGCAUGUGACAAGCACCCAGAAAGUGUCAUGGCUGUUGUUGGGUGUUGACAGCUCAGUCAGCAUCUCUGUCACCGCCCCAUCCGGUCCUGCACCCUAAGACACAGGGGAACUGUUCUCCUAACUAUAAAAGUGUGGUUGGAGAAUGAAGCACUCCAUGGCAGGAUACAGAAAGAUGUGAGGCGAUUGGAGCGUGGGCUUUGCGUUCAGGUCUGGCGCCUGAGUCAGGGAGGGCUGUGAGUGUCAGGUCUAGGGAUCUGACUUUAUGCCAAGGAUAAUGAGAAGGAUCCAGGGAAGAGAAAGGAGCCCAGGCUUCCCUUGCCUUAGGGGGGUGACCCUAGUGGCUCCGUAGAAUGUAGAUGGAAGACUGCACUGUUGUCUGCAUGGAAGGAAGUUUCUUCGAAAAUCAUCGAGGUCAAAGCCCUCACCCUGAGGUUCCUCAGCAAGGCUUUCAGGGGAGAAACGAGGGACUGUUUCUGCAGCUCGUUUUAUGCAGGUAUGAUUUCUAUAAACUCUCCUCAGCACACCCAGACACUGGGUCCCUAGGCAGGUUGCACCAGCAUCACUCAUUUAGACUAGAGUAGGGUGUCAAUGACUGACAAGGCCAGCAUGGAUUCCUUGAGACGAAGCCAUAGAAAGAGCACACGUUUUGAAAGCAGAGCUGAGUGCCUCUUUUGGUCUUGCCAGUUCUGGGCUCUGUGACCUUGGGCAGCUUAGCUGCAAUUCUCGUUAUUGCUCUCAAUCUGCACCUAUUGAGGAUUCAUGUCUGGGUCUCCACAUAUGCUAUUCACAGUGCACUUCAGGAUCUGGGUCUGGGGACAGAGUCAGAUAUGCACCCACAUGUUUACUGCACAGCACGAG